rnacentral:lncRNA from 1 species
AUGAUGACAUCAUUGAUAGGACUGCUCCUCCUGCUUUCUCUCGGCCAGGUUGUUGUUGUGAAUGAGAAUGAGAUGUUGGUCCACUCAGCUGGUUACAGAAAUAAUCAAAUCCUUCCCGUCAGGUCUCCUCCUGGUAGAAUGUCUGAAACACCUCCCAUGGAAGGAGUCGUGAUGUCAAAGCCACCUUUACUGACUCCUUCUGAUGAGGAGCUCCUCACCUGUUCCCUACAAGAUGGGCGUGACCGGAGGUGGCCAGCUGCAGACCCUCUGCAGGUGGGCGUGACCGGAGGUGGCCAAGCUGCAGACCCUCUGCAGGUGGGCGUGACCGGAGGUGGCCAAGCUGCAGACCCUCUGCAGGUGGGCGUGUCCGGAGGUGGCCAAGCUGCAGACCCUCUGCUCAUCAGUCGGCCCGGGAGUAUUCAAGCAGCUGAGAGACACCUUCACUUCGGCUGGAGGAUUACUCCACCUGGGUCCCGUCUAACAGCCACUUGUGAAUCGUAUUCCUGCUCCUUACCUUUGAGAAUUUCAUGUGUUUUUGGAAAUUGGAUUUUUGCUUUUGACCUCCUGCUCUUGUCUCCAGACAAACCUUCACCCUCGUGUUGGACUGGCAGAACUCUGGAGCCCACACCAUCUGGACCUCCAACCCCGCUCGUCUCUCAGAACCACCUCCAGCACCCUACCUAGACUCCCCUGGAUCUACAAACUCAGCUCCCUCCACGUCUCUCCCUCUCUGGAUCUCAGCAUCAGGACAACCCUGUCAGCCCAGACCGGACCACUUCCCCCCUCGAGCCAUUAUCUCCCUCUCCAGAAUGUAAGUCCUCCACGCCAUUCAGGUUCCCCCGGAUUCCCGUUGAAGACAUCAGCUACGUUUGAUGCUGCUCCCUUGGUUCUCCUUUUAAUAAAAGAUCAUUUAACAACUUUCACCAAAGACUCGUAGUGGGUUAGACAUUUACCCCACAUCAUGACACUUUAGGCGUCUGAGUUAUUUCCAGACGGUUCCCCGAAAGGCGUAGUGAGUCCCUUAAGGUGGACAACCGUGUGGAGAAGUGACAGAGUAGUGCACCAGCCCCGGUGAUGAACAGCAGUCGGAGCAUGUAGGGAGGAGACAGACAGUCAGAGGAGGCCCAGGAGUAAGUCACGGGUUUGAAGGAGAUGUUAUUGUAGAAAGGAGAGAACUCUACACCAGACCUGUGUCUAUCUGGAUCCAAGUAAUCUAGAGAGACCUCACCAGUGUGUACCAUGGUGGUCUGUAGGACAUGCUGUCCGGGGGAAGGGACUUUGACAGUGGCGUACCUGUAGAUGUUGACCGAUGAGACGCCCAAGUUAAAGAGCGACCCAAAUGUAUUAUCAAAUAAGAGGAACUCGGAGAGAAAACGCCUCUCCCUGCCCUGGGUACCAGAGAUUACAGAAAUGGAAACUGUGAAGUUCUGUACCUGUAGUAGCUGUGAGAGAUGUCGGCGUUAGAGUGCCCCACACUCGUGUGAGUAAAGUUAGUACUUGUGUCAGAAAGUGUGUUAAAGGGACUUAUUAGUUUCCUAGUGCAUGCUAUGUCAGGGUCGAACUUUAAGAAAACAUUUUGUGUGAAUAGACGGUAGUUGGUCAUUAACAGACCUGGGCUCUCCCUGAGCGUGGAAGAAGAAGAAGAAGAAGAAGAAGAAGAAGAAGAAGAAGAAGAAGAAGAAGAAGAAGAAGAAGAAGAAGAAGAAGA